CCGCCCCGGUCUGCCAGCCCACCUGUCCUCCAGCCGCCACAGCAGCAGCAGCGCUUAGGGAGAGCACGAGAAUUCCCUCAUCAAACAGGUAGCCGCGGACACUGGAAGGGCCCGUCAAGGCGGGACUGACCAAUCGGCUCCUCAGGUUGCGCCAUGAAUUAUCCGAACAGCCAAUCAACCCGUCCGAGGGGCAGAACAUUCUGUUUGUCAGAAGCAAGGAGGAAGAAAACUUGGCGCGUUGUGAGAGUGGUGGAUUUCAAAGAGAAGAGAAAGAAUAUGGGGCUAGUUUUCUCUUCCUGUCCAAGACACUGUGGCACAAAAAAAUUAAGUGAGGAGAAAGGUCAGUAUCAAGCCAGCUAAAAUCUGCAGAUGAGAUGACCCUGCACCCUGCUGCACACAUGGUGUCAUCCAGUCCAAUUUCUGACCAAGAGGGAAGUGGCACCCUUAUUGCUUAAAGUUUAUUCCUGCUCCAGUUUGUUGAAGCGCUCCAGUGAGGAAAAUCACAACAUUCCUGAGAACCAUUUCUCAUACUUCUUGCAAAGUACUGGGCAUCUCCUUUGUACCUCUCCCACCUUACCUCUCAUCAUAUCUUAAUUUGCAAAAUAUAAUUAUGUUCUAUUUUUUCCUAAUGUUGUGUUUCCUUGUCCCCUUUUACACAAUUUGCUUUUGGUUUUCCUGUUUGCUGAAAUAGCAAGAAAGGUAUAAUUUGUCCUGAAAAGUUUAGUCCCAAGUACUUCUUUUAAAAAAAUAACCUUCUUUGCUCAGGAUUAGCUCCUUCACUUAAUUUUCAAGUGUUGCUAUAGUCAUGCUGCUAGUAAUCAUGUUAAUGAGUAAUGUAAGCAAUUGAGGCAGCUAAUCAAUGUAUCAGGGAUGAAAUCUUAAUUAAAAUGGUAUUUAACUCUAGGAAAUAAGAGCUUUGUAUAAUUUCUUUUAUAGCAGUCAUAUUGACUGUUUGGUAGAAUGUAAUUGUUUCACGUAUUUUUAUCCUAAUACAAAAGU